UAAAUCUCCCAAAGAGUGCUAUAAAACACUAUGGGCAGGUAUAUAAGUCUAAGUGCUGUUGCUGUUGCUAAUGUUAUUCU